rnacentral:rRNA from 1 species
UUAUACUCGACCGUCAGCGGCACGUGCGAUCGCGCGAACUUUCGCGAGCGAGCGCGGUCACGAAGCCCUGACGAGUAGGAGGGUCGCGGCGGUGAGCGCAGAAGGGCUGGCCGCGAGGCCGUCUGGAGCCGCCGUCGGUGCAGAUCUUGGUGGUAGUAGCAAAUACUCCAGCGAGGCCCUGGAGGACUGACGUGGAGAAGGGUUUCGUGUGAACAGCCGUUGCACACGAGUCAGUCGAUCCUAAGCCCUAGGCGAAAGCCGAUGUCGAUGCGGUGUAGUUUUUACGAUAAUCGAUCAUACGACGACGACGACGACGACGACGACUACGUCGACGAAAUAAAUUUUAAUUCGUCACGACGUCGACGACGACGUCCGUCCUUCGUAAUAAUAACGCGAGAGCACACACCCGUCGGGCGAAAGGGAAUCCGGUUCCUAUUCCGGAACCUGGCAGCGGAACCGUCAAAAAGUCGGGC